UACGUAGGGGGCAAGCGUUGUCCGGAUUUAUUGGGCGUAAAGAGCGUGUAGGCGCCAGACAGGUCCGUUGUGAAAACUCGAGGCUCAACCUCGAGACGCCGAUGGAAACCGUCUGGCUAGAGUCCGGAAGAGGAGAGUGGAAUUCCUGGUGUAGCGGUGAAAUGCGCAGAUAUCUGGAGGAACACCGGUGGCGAAGGCGGCAUCCCGUCGGAACCA
rnacentral:rRNA from 1 species